CCAGACUCCUACGGGAGGCAGCAGUGGGGGAUAUUGCACAAUGGGGGAAACCCUGAUGCAGCGACGCCGCGUGGGCGAAGAAGUAUUUCGGUAUGUAAAGCCCUAUCAGCAGGGAAGAAGAAAUGACGGUACCUGACUAAGAAGCCCCGGCUAACUACGUGCCAGCAGCCGCGGUAAUACGUAGGGGGCAAGCGUUAUCCGGAUUUACUGGGUGUAAAGGGAGCGUAGACGGCGAUGCAAGUCUGAAGUGAAAGGCGGGGGCCCAACCCCCGGACUGCUUUGGAAACUGUAUGGCUGGAGUGCAGGAGAGGUAAGUGGAAUUCCUAGUGUAGCGGUGAAAUGCGUAGAUAUACGGAGGAACACCAGUGGCGAAGGCGGAUUGCUGGACAGUAACUGACGCUGAGGCGCGAAAGCGUGGGGAGCAAACAGGAUUAGAUACCCUGGUA
rnacentral:rRNA from 1 species